rfam:Rhizopogon vesiculosus strain AM-OR11-056 contig23710, whole genome shotgun sequence.
GGUUCAGUGGUCUAAUGGUUAUGAUUUCUGUCUCACACACAGAAGGUUCUGAGUUCGAUCCUCAGCUGAACCA